GACAAAGACGAAGGGACAGUUUCGAAGACAGAAGGGCGGGGUUUCGUUUUCAAACCAAACAUACUUUACCUCGGAUACGCAAAAGCAACCAAAAUAUUAUUGAAAAAAAAAAACACACACACAAAAAACAGCUCUCUCUCUCUCUCUCGUAAUUCGUGCACCAAUCUCAUCACUCCAUCCCUGCACCAACCAAACCCUCACUUUCCUUAAACCCACAUCUCUCACCAUCUGGGUUCGUGGGUUUAGGAUGCGUUUACUAGUUCGAACCCAAGCCCAUGCUGGCCGUGGCCUUCGUCACCUUGUGAUUCAGUUCCCUGAGAGAUGGUUUGUGCUCAAAAGGUUCAGAGAUGUUAAUGAUGCCUGCUGCAAGGGUUGUGCUCUAUUCCAACAUAAUAGAUGAAAAAUUUCUCACUAAAAGGUACUGUUGGAGUUUAUGCAUUAAUAUACUUCAGGUCUGGAAUAGGGAAUGAAGCCAUUGGUCCGCAUAACUUAGCUAUCUUUGUAUCAUAUUAAGAUUCACUUUAUAUUUUUCUUUUUUAUCUAUUUUGAAAUUCUUUGGAUAAUAGAUGCCUUGCUGCACCUUCUAUUUCUA